GAUGAACGCUAGCGGCAGGCCUAAUACAUGCAAGUCGAACGGUGUCUUCGGACAUAGUGGCGCACGGGUGCGUAACACGUAUGCAACCUACCUUACAUUGGGGGAUAGCCUUUCGAAAGGGAGAUUAAUACCGCAUAAGACAGUAGCUGGGCAUCCAGCAGCUGUUAAAGAUUUAUCGAUGUAAGCUGGGCAUGCGUCCAAUUAGCUAGUUGGUGAGGUAACGGCUCACCAAGGCAAUGAUUGGUAGGGGAACUGAGAGGUCAAUCCCCCACACUGGCACUGAGAUACGGGCCAGACUCCUACGGGAGGCAGCAGUAGGGAAUAUUGGGCAAUGGACGCAAGUCUGACCCAGCCAUGCCGCGUGCAGGAUGAAGGCGCUAUGCGUUGUAAACUGCCUUUAUACAGGAAGAAACGACUCUUGCGAGAGGCAUUGACGGUACUGUAUGAAUAAGCACCGGCUAACUCCGUGCCAGCCGCCGCAGUAAUAC
rnacentral:rRNA from 1 species